UUUUUUUUUUUUUUUUUUGUCAAAGACUCUGUAGCUCAAGAUUGUCCAACUUUUGGUGCUAUACCUUCUCAGCCCAGUUCUCCUUUCCACUCCAAGUGCUGGAAUUACAGGCAUGCGCCAUUUUUGGACCCAUUCUUGUUUACCUAAAGAUCUUAGGGUAAAACCUGUGGUUAGACAAGAAAUCCAGAUGAAAGGUGGAAAGCUAGAUCUGGAAUCUUACUAAUCCUUCAUUUUUUUUAUGGCCAUGCCUCUCAUUCAAACUCCAUGCUCCUGUGACUGGCACUUCUUCCUAAGGUUCUGGUUUUCUCAGCUGGCUCAGUUCUCACGGCCAUAUUAAAGGCCUGUAUCCCAGUGUCCAUAUCUAGUCCUGUUGUCUAUAGACACAGAAAGUAUUGCUGGCACAAGGGCACACUGCUAUUUCCCUAUGGCACUCUGGGCCAACAUCCUUUGUUUUAUUUUGUUUUCAUUUUGUUCUUCUUCUUUUUUUUCUCUCAGAAUAGAAAGUGCAAGAAAUACAUCAACAAAAUCAUGAGUGGCUUUGCAUUUUAACUUGUGAAUCAAAGUAAUAUUUCUAGCAGAUAGAAGGGCUGGAAUCCUUGAGAAAUAGUUCAGGAGCAUGGCAGCUGUAGCAUAGACAGGAUGGAGCAACUGAAUCAGCAACCAUUGACCCACAACAAAAAGCAACCCCAUAAAUGGCCUUAAACUAAAUGUUUAAACACGUUCCUCCCAUGGAGGGAGAUUUGAGGCAUGACACUCAAUCUUUCUUCCACUUGAGGCAAUAAGACCCUAAAAAACAUGCAAAGAGGCCAUGCAGUAGAUUGUGCAAUCUGGGGCCAUGAUGACAUGACAGAGACACUGUUUUUUAAUUUACUGGAACAGGCAUACAGCUAGGUGUCCACUGUAGAGCUGCAUGUAGAAUGGUAGGUGUUUGCUCUUCACUAUAUUCCCUUUGGAGUGCAGGUAAGAGUCACUCUCCUUCCUCCAUGAGUACUGCAGGGAGCUAACUCAGGCUGUCAGGCAUGGGUACAGACACUUUUAUCUGCUGAGCCAUUUCUCUGGUCCAGGCCAAAGCCUUUUUAGUGAGGUAGAUUGAGAAGAAGGAUGAAAGAUGGGUAAGAGAGCCAGGAACAGGGAACAAAGACACGCUGAGGACUUAAUGGCUAUGCACCCACUGACAGGAUGAAACAGAAGGGUCAUGGGGACCGCAGGCUUACCUGGCAUUGAAUCUGGAACAUGUAGAGCUCUGAGUGAGAAGUCAUGGGUUAAAUGCAAGUCUUGUCCUUUCAUAUGUCAAGCAUAGCCAUCGCAGCUCUUACCUGCUCAGAGACUAAAUGCUUGUAGAUCUCCUGCCUGCUUUAGCCUUCACAUAAAGAUUCCAGAGACAGGACCGGGGUCAAUAAGCAAUCCACAAAGCUACAGUAGGAGAUAAAUGGAAACAGCCAGAGUUGUUUGUGUCACAGACUGUUGACCAUGAGAAGAUGGUAGGGUUUUGGGUUGGGCACCCAUGCAUGCACACCUUGCCUGUCUACACACAGGGAAUCGCCUCAGGGCCUCGGUUUUGUGUUUGUGUAUAUAUUUUCUCAACCUGAAAAGUGGGAUAAUGACAUUUAGCCCUGGGUGCUGUGAAUGUUAGCUGGAGUAUAUGGUCUGUAAAGAGCCUUGUGUAGUCUCUACUACCCCACUGGGCUCAGUAAAUUCUAAUUUAGCUCCAAGGGUAAACACAGAAUAGAAAUGUACAACUGUAGAGUUGAGUAGCGAACAGAUUUUUGGUGUUUCCCAUGGUGGUUGCUCUUAUGGAUCUUACUGCAAAGAGUCCAGAAUUUGAACAAGUUUGGGAAGCCAUAGAUGAAACAAACCGAGUCUGGUCACACGUGACAGGAUUUCUCAUGAUCUUAGAGGCCAGUGCUCAAUGUGUUUCUAAGAGACAGGUGAUAGCCCCAGAUCUUUAAAAGUGGGAAUUUCCACGGCCCUGGGAGCCUCAGUACAGAACCUGGACUCCUGGAGUUGACAACAUGUGGACCUGAAGUUUGGCUCCAGUUUGCAGAAAUGCUGCCACUGGCUCUUUCAGUAUAUAUAAAAAUCUUAUAAAUUAGUUUCUGGGGUUGAAAAAUGCUAGGAAUUUAUAAGGCAAGUUGGACUUUAUGAUUCUCUUGAAAAAUGAAGGUUUGGAGGCAGGGCUUGUACUUUGCUUUAGUAGAGCUCAUGGAGCCUCCAACGGUAUUGGUUUCCUUAGGUUACAUACCCAGCCUGUUGGUCCUUGUAGGUUCCUGAGCUGGGAAUCCUGAUGUAGUUCAACUCCUUCACUUUAAGG
rnacentral:lncRNA from 1 species